AACAUCGCGCACCUGCGGGAACCUGCGGAAGGAUCAUUACCGAGUUUACAACUCCCAAACCCCUGUGAACAUACCUAUACGUUGCCUCGGCGGAUCAGCCCGCGCCCCGUAAAACGGGACGGCCCGCCCGAGGACCCCUAAACUCUGUUUUUAGUGGAACUUCUGAGUAAAACAAACAAAUAAAUCAAAACUUUCAGCAAUGGAUCU
rnacentral:misc_RNA from 1 species